rnacentral:piRNA from 1 species
AACGCCCUUAGGGCUUGAGCACAGG